GAACGAACGCUGGCGGCAGGCCUAACACAUGCAAGUCGAGCGCGCCCUUCGGGGUGAGCGGCGGACGGGUUAGUAACGCGUGGGAACGUGCCCUUCUCUAAGGAAUAGUCUCGGGAAACUGAGGGUAAUACCUUAUACGCCCUUCGGGGGAAAGAUUUAUCGGAGAAGGAUCGGCCCGCGUUAGAUUAGAUAGUUGGUGGGGUAAUGGCCUACCAAGUCUACGAUCUAUAGCUGGUUUUAGAGGAUGAUCAGCAACACUGGGACUGAGACACGGCCCAGACUCCUACGGGAGGCAGCAGUGGGGAAUCUUAGACAAUGGGCGCAAGCCUGAUCUAGCCAUGCCGCGUGUGUGAUGAAGGUCUUAGGAUCGUAAAGCACUUUCGCCAGGGAUGAUAAUGACAGUACCUGGUAAAGAAACCCCGGCUAACUCCGUGCCAGCAGCCGCGGUAAUACGGAGGGGGUUAGCGUUGUUCGGAAUUACUGGGCGUAAAGCGUACGUAGGCGGAUCAGCAAGUAUAGGGUGAAAUCCCGGGGCUCAACCCCGGAACUGCCUUGUAAACUGUUGGUCUUGAGUUCGAGAGAGGUGAGUGGAAUUCCAAGUGUAGAGGUGAAAUUCGUAGAUAUUUGGAGGAACACCAGUGGCGAAGGCGGCUCACUGGCUCGAUACUGACGCUGAGGUGCGAAAGUGUGGGGAGCAAACAGGAUUAGAUACCCUGGUAGUCCACACCGUAAACGAUGAAUGCCAGUCGUCGGGCAGUAUACUGUUCGGUGACACACCUAACGGAUUAA
rnacentral:rRNA from 1 species